AGGGAAACCGAGUCUUAACUGGGCGUUAAGUUGCAGGGUAUAGACCCGAAACCCGGUGAUCUAGCCAUGGGCAGGUUGAAGGUUGGGUAACACUAACUGGAGGACCGAACCGACUAAUGUUGAAAAAUUAGCGGAUGACCUGUGGCUGGGGGUGAAAGGCCAAUCAAACCGGGAGAUAGCUGGUUCUCCCCGAAAGCUAUUUAGGUAGCGCCUCGUGAAUUCAUCUUCGGGGGUAGAGCACUGUUUCGGCUAGGGGGUCAUCCCGACUUACCAACCCGAUGCAAACUGCGAAUACCGGAGAAUGUUAUCACGGGAGACACACGGCGGGUGCUAACGUCCGUCGUGAAGAGGGAAACAACCCAGACCGCCAGCUAAGGUCCCAAAGUCAUGGUUAAGUGGGAAACGAUGUGGGAAGGCCCAGACAGCCAGGAUGUUGGCUUAGAAGCAGCCAUCAUUUAAAGAAAGCGUAAUAGCUCACUGGUCGAGUCGGCCUGCGCGGAAGAUGUAACGGGGCUAAACCAUGCACCGAAGCUGCGGCAGCGAACGUAUCACUUAAAGCGAUUCAGCGGGUUACGAUUGACGGAGCGAAGCGACGUCAAAGCGUAUAGAAAGUCGAGUCGGUUUAAGGAUACGUUCGUUGGGUAGGGGAGCGUUCUGUAAGCCUGUGAAGGUGUGUCGUGAGGCAUGCUGGAGGUAUCAGAAGUGCGAAUGCUGACAUAAGUAACGAUAAUGCGGGUGAAAAACCCGCUCGCCGGAAGACCAAGGGUUCCUGUCCAACGUUAAUCGGGGCAGGGUGAGUCGACCCCUAAGGCGAGGCCGAAAGGCGUAGUCGAUGGGAAACAGGUUAAUAUUCCUGUACUCGGUGUUACUGCGAAGGGGGGACGGAGAAGGCUAUGUUGGCCGGGCGACGGUUGUCCCGGUUUAAGCGUGUAGGUGUGUGGACCAGGCAAAUCCGGUUCACUUUAACACUGAGGCGUGAUGACGAGGCACUACGGUGCUGAAGCAACAAAUGCCCUGCUUCCAGGAAAAGCCUCUAAGCAUCAGGUAACAUCAAAUCGUACCCCAAACCGACACAGGUGGUCAGGUAGAGAAUACCAAGGCGCUUGAGAGAACUCGGGUGAAGGAACUAGGCAAAAUGGUGCCGUAACUUCGGGAGAAGGCACGCUGAUGGUAGGUGAAGUGAUUUACUCAUGGAGCUGAAAUCAGUCGAAGAUACCAGCUGGCUGCAACUGUUUAUUAAAAACACAGCACUGUGCAAACACGAAAGUGGACGUAUACGGUGUGACGCCUGCCCGGUGCCGGAAGGUUAAUUGAUGGGGUCAGCGCAAGCGAAGCUCCUGAUCGAAGCCCCGGUAAACGGCGGCCGUAACUAUAACGGUCCUAAGGUAGCGAAAUUCCUUGUCGGGUAAGUUCCGACCUGCACGAAUGGCGUAAUGAU
rnacentral:rRNA from 1 species